CCCAGUGCUUAGUAUAGUGCCUGGCACCCAGUAAGCACUUAACAAAUUCCACAAUUAUUAUGAUGAUGAGGCAAUUCUCUCUGCCCCGUGUACCCGUGCUUGUUCAGGGCAGGUUGCCCGGUCCCAAGGGGCCCAGGGUCUUUCCAUUUGGUCUACGGCCUGGGGUUCCGCCACCACCGCCCCAUCUCCUCAUGCAGCCGGUGCCUCUGGGAGAGCAGGUGGAAGUGAAAAGAUGUGGGGCAGAGACACCAGGCCCCUCCUGCCUCCUCCUCCUCCUCCCUCCUUGUGCCAUCUUUCCCUUUCUGGAGGCAGAACGGGGCCCACUGGGUAAGGAUGGGCACCCCGCCCACCGGCCAGCCCGCCUCAUCCCCUAGCGCUGGGCGGCACCCCGUGCAGUGCCGUCUCCUGGCCCUGACUCCCGCCCGCCAUGGAUUUCGAUCUGGCAGCAGGUAAGCUCUCGGUGGGGUAGGCUCAGGCGGGCCCCUCUCAGCUCCCUUCCCCCUCCGCCAGGCAGGGAGCUGAGGCCACCCCAGGCCCACACCCCCUCCCUGUCGUCCUGGGGGAGAGGGUGGGAGGGCCGGGAGGGCCGAUCCCAGGAUUGUGGAUGGAGGGGGUGGGAGGUUCUGGUCUCUUCCCCUAACUAGGUGGGCCCUGCAGCAGGAGGGAGUUAGGCGAGACCCCAAGGAAGAGGGUGGCUCAUUCUAGCUGUAGCUGCCUCAUCCGCAGAGCCUCUGGUGCUGGGCUAGGGCGGAGGAGGCCGGGGCGUGACUUGUCCUCCAUGGGUUGAGACCCCCACUGCCCGCCACAGUUGUAGACGCCCCUCCCUACACUGAGCCCAGCCUUCCGCACCCACGCCUGGCACCCUCAGCUUAGUUCCAGCUAAUCGUUGCGUUCUCUCCUGGACAGCGGUGGGGCCUGACCCAAGGAAGGAGGAAGACAGCCACAAGCCGGGGGAGCCCAACACCCAGGCCAAAGUUGGCUCCGGGGACAGCUCAGAAAGCAGGAGCAGCAGCAGCAGCGAUGCAGAGGCGGCCGGGAAGGACCACCAGCCCAAGGGCAAGCAGCCUCCCAAGGUGAAGAAGCCCAAAGGGAAGAAGGACAAGAAGAAGAAGAAGGCAGAGAGGGAAAAAUCGCCCUGACCUCCCUUGCCUCUUCGACUGCCCCAUGCCGAUCGUGCCACCGCAGAGGCUGUGACUUUGUGUGAGCCCGUUGUUGGGCAGGGAUUGUCUCUAUCUGUUGCCAAAUUGUACACUCCAAGCGCUUAGGACAGUGCUCUGCACAUAGUAAGUGCUCAAAUACUAUUGAGUGAACGAAUGGAUAUAAGCCUUGGGACUCCAGACUUGGAUUUGCCCAUGUACUUAGUACUGUGCCCAGGCCAUAGGACUGACAGCUUGGGGGGCGGGGAGAGGGGAAGGAGGGGUCUGUGUUCAAGUAGACUGUCGGCUCGUUAUAGGCAGGGAAUGUAUCUGCUAAUGCGGUUCAGUUGCACUCUCCCAAGCGCUCGGUACGGUGGU